rnacentral:rRNA from 1 species
AUUGAACGCUGGCGGCAUGCCUUACACAUGCAAGUCGAACGGCAGCACGGGUGCUUGCACCUGGUGGCGAGUGGCGAACGGGUGAGUAAUACAUCGGAACAUGUCCUGUAGUGGGGGAUAGCCCGGCGAAAGCCGGAUUAAUACCGCAUACGAUCUACGGAUGAAAGCGGGGGACCUUCGGGCCUCGCGCUAUAGGGUUGGCCGAUGGCUGAUUAGCUAGUUGGUGGGGUAAAGGCCUACCAAGGCGACGAUCAGUAGCUGGUCUGAGAGGACGACCAGCCACAUUGGGAUUGAGAAACGGCCAAGCCCCCUAGGGGGGGCAGGAGGGGGGAAUUUUGGAAAAUGGGCGAAAGCCUGACCCAGCAAGGCCGGGGGGGUGAAGAAGGCCUUCGGGUGGUAAAGCACUUUUGUCCGGAAAAAAAUCCUUGGCCCUAAUACGGGCGGGGGAUGAGGGUACCGGAAGAAUAAGCACCGGCUAAAUACGU